UACGUAGGGUGCAAGCGUUGUCCGGAAUUAUUGGGCGUAAAGAGCUCGUAGGCGGUCUGUUGCGUCGGCUGUGAAAACCCGGGGCUCAACUCCGGGCCUGCAGCCGAUACGGGCAGACUAGAGUUCGGCAGGGGAGACUGGAAUUCCUGGUGUAGCGGUGAAAUGCGCAGGUAUCAGGAGGAACACCGGUGGCGAAGGCGGGUCUCUGGGCCGAUACUGACGCUGAGGAGCGAAAGCGUGGGGAGCGAACAGG
rnacentral:rRNA from 1 species